rnacentral:rRNA from 1 species
UUAAGCGACUAAGCGUACACGGUGGAUGCCCUGGCAGUCAGAGGCGAUGAAGGACGUGCUAAUCUGCGAUAAGCGUCGGUAAGGUGAUAUGAACCGUUAUAACCGGCGAUUUCCGAAUGGGGAAACCCAGUGUGUUUCGACACACUAUCAUUAACUGAAUCCAUAGGUUAAUGAGGCGAACCGGGGGAACUGAAACAUCUAAGUACCCCGAGGAAAAGAAAUCAACCGAGAUUCCCCCAGUAGCGGCGAGCGAACGGGGAGGAGCCCAGAGCCUGAAUCAGUGUGUGUGUUAGUGGAAGCGUCUGGAAAGGCGCGCGAUACAGGGUGACAGCCCCGUACACAAAAAUGCACAUGCUGUGAGCUCGAUGAGUAGGGCGGGACACGUGGUAUCCUGUCUGAAUAUGGGGGGACCAUCCUCCAAGGCUAAAUACUCCUGACUGACCGAUAGUGAACCAGUACCGUGAGGGAAAGGCGAAAAGAACCCCGGCGAGGGGAGUGAAAAAGAACCUGAAACCGUGUACGUACAAGCAGUGGGAGCCUCUUUAUGGGGUGACUGCGUACCUUUUGUAUAAUGGGUCAGCGACUUAUAUUCUGUAGCAAGGUUAACCGAAUAGGGGAGCCGAAGGGAAACCGAGUCUUAACUGGGCGUUAAGUUGCAGGGUAUAGACCCGAAACCCGGUGAUCUAGCCAUGGGCAGGUUGAAGGUUGGGUAACACUAACUGGAGGACCGAACCGACUAAUGUUGAAAAAUUAGCGGAUGACUUGUGGCUGGGGGUGAAAGGCCAAUCAAACCGGGAGAUAGCUGGUUCUCCCCGAAAGCUAUUUAGGUAGCGCCUCGUGAAUUCAUCUCCGGGGGUAGAGCACUGUUUCGGCAAGGGGGUCAUCCCGACUUACCAACCCGAUGCAAACUGCGAAUACCGGAGAAUGUUAUCACGGGAGACACACGGCGGGUGCUAACGUCCGUCGUGAAGAGGGAAACAACCCAGACCGCCAGCUAAGGUCCCAAAGUCAUGGUUAAGUGGGAAACGAUGUGGGAAGGCCCAGACAGCCAGGAUGUUGGCUUAGAAGCAGCCAUCAUUUAAAGAAAGCGUAAUAGCUCACUGGUCGAGUCGGCCUGCGCGGAAGAUGUAACGGGGCUAAACCAUGCACCGAAGCUGCGGCAGCGACGCUUAUGCGUUGUUGGGUAGGGGAGCGUUCUGUAAGCCUGUGAAGGUGUGCUGUGAGGCAUGCUGGAGGUAUCAGAAGUGCGAAUGCUGACAUAAGUAACGAUAAAGCGGGUGAAAAGCCCGCUCGCCGGAAGACCAAGGGUUCCUGUCCAACGUUAAUCGGGGCAGGGUGAGUCGACCCCUAAGGCGAGGCCGAAAGGCGUAGUCGAUGGGAAACAGGUUAAUAUUCCUGUACUUGGUGUUACUGCGAAGGGGGGACGGAGAAGGCUAUGUUGGCCGGGCGACGGUUGUCCCGGUUUAAGCGUGUAGGCUGGUUUUCCAGGCAAAUCCGGAAAAUCAAGGCUGAGGCGUGAUGACGAGGCACUACGGUGCUGAAGCAACAAAUGCCCUGCUUCCAGGAAAAGCCUCUAAGCAUCAGGUAACAUCAAAUCGUACCCCAAACCGACACAGGUGGUCAGGUAGAGAAUACCAAGGCGCUUGAGAGAACUCGGGUGAAGGAACUAGGCAAAAUGGUGCCGUAACUUCGGGAGAAGGCACGCUGAUAUGUAGGUGAAGUCCCUUGCGGAUGGAGCUGAAAUCAGUCGAAGAUACCAGCUGGCUGCAACUGUUUAUUAAAAACACAGCACUGUGCAAACACGAAAGUGGACGUAUACGGUGUGACGCCUGCCCGGUGCCGGAAGGUUAAUUGAUGGGGUUAGCGCAAGCGAAGCUCUUGAUCGAAGCCCCGGUAAACGGCGGCCGUAACUAUAACGGUCCUAAGGUAGCGAAAUUCCUUGUCGGGUAAGUUCCGACCUGCACGAAUGGCGUAAUGAUGGCCAGGCUGUCUCCACCCGAGACUCAGUGAAAUUGAACUCGCUGUGAAGAUGCAGUGUACCCGCGGCAAGACGGAAAGACCCCGUGAACCUUUACUAUAGCUUGACACUGAACAUUGAGCCUUGAUGUGUAGGAUAGGUGGGAGGCUUUGAAGUGUGGACGCCAGUCUGCAUGGAGCCGACCUUGAAAUACCACCCUUUAAUGUUUGAUGUUCUAACGUUGACCCGUAAUCCGGGUUGCGGACAGUGUCUGGUGGGUAGUUUGACUGGGGCGGUCUCCUCCUAAAGAGUAACGGAGGAGCACGAAGGUUGGCUAAUCCUGGUCGGACAUCAGGAGGUUAGUGCAAUGGCAUAAGCCAGCUUGACUGCGAGCGUGACGGCGCGAGCAGGUGCGAAAGCAGGUCAUAGUGAUCCGGUGGUUCUGAAUGGAAGGGCCAUCGCUCAACGGAUAAAAGGUACUCCGGGGAUAACAGGCUGAUACCGCCCAAGAGUUCAUAUCGACGGCGGUGUUUGGCACCUCGAUGUCGGCUCAUCACAUCCUGGGGCUGAAGUAGGUCCCAAGGGUAUGGCUGUUCGCCAUUUAAAGUGGUACGCGAGCUGGGUUUAGAACGUCGUGAGACAGUUCGGUCCCUAUCUGCCGUGGGCGCUGGAGAACUGAGGGGGGCUGCUCCUAGUACGAGAGGACCGGAGUGGACGCAUCACUGGUGUUCGGGUUGUCAUGCCAAUGGCACUGCCCGGUAGCUAAAUGCGGAAGAGAUAAGUGCUGAAAGCAUCUAAGCACGAAACUUGCCCCGAGAUGAGUUCUCCCUGACCCUUUAAGGGUCCUGAAGGAACGUUGAAGACGACGACGUUGAUAGGCCGGGUGUGUAAGCGCAGCGAUGCGUUGAGCUAACCGGUACUAAUGAACCGUGAGGCUUAACCUU